UCCGGGUUGGUCCCGGCGGUCCGGCCAGACGUGGUAACUGGCCGCGGGGGUUGCGCUCGUUGCGGGACUUAACCCAACACCUCACGGCACGAGCUGACGACAGCCGUGCAGCACCUGUGCCGGCUCCCUCGCGGGUCGCUCCCCUUUCGGGUCGCUACCACCGGCAUGUCAAGCCCGGGUAAGGUUCUUCGCGUUGCAUCGAAUUAAACCACACGCUCCGCUGCUUGUGCGGGCCCCCGUCAAUUCCUUUGAGUUCUAGCCUUGCGGCCGUACUCCCCAGGCGGGGUGCUUAUCGCGUUGGCUGCGGCACCGCGGGGGUCGAUACCCGCGACACCUAGCACCCAUCGUUUACGGCGUGGACUAC
rnacentral:misc_RNA from 1 species